UGAGGAAUAUUGGUCAAUGGGAGCAAUCCUGAACCAGCAAUGCUGCGUGUGGGAUGACGGGGGCUCAGCCCUGUAAACCACUGUCGGACGGGACGAAAGGAGCCUUCAGGGCUCUGGGACGGUACCGUCAAAGGAAGGGUCGGCUAACUACGUGCCAGCAGCCGCGGUAAUACGUAGGACCCGAGCGUUGUCCGGAAUUACUGGGUAUAAAGGGUGCGCAGGCGGCCGUGUGCGUCAGAGGUGAAAUCUCCGGGCUUAACCCGGAGGGUGCCUUUGAUACGGCAUGGCUUGAGUCCGAGAGAGGGUGAUGGAAUUCCUGGUGUAGCAGUGAAAUGCGUAGAUAUCAGGAGGAACACCGGUGGCGAAGGCGGUCACCUGGCUCGGCACUGACGCUUAGGCACG
rnacentral:rRNA from 1 species